rnacentral:lncRNA from 1 species
GUGCAUCUCUGAACCUGAGCUAGAUUUGUUGGGUCAGGGACCAUACUUAUUUACUGGCCCAAGAAUUAGAAGAGGAGGUGUCUAAGAAAUGCUUGUUGAAUGAAUAAAUAAACAGCCGAAUUUUCUGCAAACUAGGAAUAGAAGCAAGCUUCUUAACCUGAUGUAUCGCACCUUCAAAAAGCCUACAGCAAACAUCUUACUUAGUGAUGAAAAACUGAUUGCCUUCCCCAUAAGAUUGAGAACCAGGAACUGUCCAGGAAGACCCUGCAGUCUCUCUGCAGGCUCAUGGGAGCUCCCAGAACUGAGACAACACACGGAUCCAGGCCUGCUUCGAAGUCAGUGGGAUGCGGCCCUUGAAAGUCGAUGUAUUGGGUUCCUAGGGCUCUCGUGAAAACAUGCCACACCUGGCUGGUUUUAAACAACAGGAGUUUAUUCUGUCAGUUGAGAAGGCUACAAGUGCAAAAUCAAGGUAUUGACGGGAUGAGUUCCAACUAGAGGCUGUGAGGCAGAUCAACUCCAUGGCUCUCUCCUGGCUUCUGCUGGUUUCUGGCAACCGUUCACUUCCCAUGCCUGGUAGACACAUCACUCUAACCUCUGCCUCCCUUUUUCAUGGGCACAUUCGCGCCUGUGUGUGUGUGUGUGUGGAUGUGUGUGUUAAGGACAGCAAUCAUUAGACUAGAUGGGGCCCACUCUAAUCCACUGUGAGCUUCUCUUACUUUGGUAACAUCUGCAAAGACCCUAUUUCCAAACAAGGUCACAUUCCAUGUUCUGGGACUGUCUUCUGAGAGAUGUCUCCCCCAGGAUCCUUCCAGGUGGAAGGAUGCCCUUUGACCUGCAAAGCCAGGCAGAAAACCAGGAUCAGGGCAGGACAAGAGGAUGCUAGCCUGUGAUGGCUCCCACUCAGGUGGGAUGUGAGAAGUGCCUGUGGCCUGGGACACACCAACUUGCUCCCGUUACCUCAUCUGAGAUGGACUGCACAGUGUAUGUCCAGGGCCCAACCCGGUACACUGUGCCUUUGCAAUGCUGUCUCUGUGCUUUGGAAAUUCACUCAGCCCACUGCGUGGGGUGGUCUGAGGCGGGCCACAACCAUUUCUCAACCAUCCCUGAGUACCUGACCAGUAUCCCUCGGGGGUGACGACGACCGCCUACAUCUGGAGCAUGAGGAGCGUGUUUACCUGGUGAGUAAGGAUGCAAGCAUAGGACGUCCUGGCCGAUCCUCUGCACAAGCAAUGCCUUUGCUCCAACGGGAUGGGCAACGUUGGAUUAGGCCUGAGGCAGAUUUGAUCUCGGAAGAUACAUUCGAGUCUAUGUGUUUUGUGCAUUUAUUUUUGUUUCCUUGAAUUAACAUGGAGUCCAUUUCAACUUUCACUUAGUCUCCUUUCUCUUCCCCCACUUCUUUCUCUCUCUCUCUUUCUUUGUAUGUGGAAGAAUUUUAACUCUGUGUUCCAUAAUGUCUAAAUACUCAAAUUUAGAGUUGACAGCCAUACAGCAAAUUAUUCAAGUUGCUGUCAAAAAAAAAAAAUCCCUGCGUUUUCUAGGAUUAAAACUGUGAAUAGAGUACUGGAAGAAAAAAAAGUCAUAGACUCAGAUGCAAAAUGACAACAUUUAAUGGGAUGAUAAGGAAAUAAGACUUGACAAGAAACCAUAGCCCACUGCAGACUGUUCACGAUGUCAGAUGGUUCAUGAUUUUUUUCCAGGUUUGAUACAGAAGAAUCAGUUUGUUACAAGAAAUGCUUCUCCAACUGGGAUUUAAAACAUCAUUUAAACAAUAAACACGUUUGUAUGUAUAUAUAAAUAGAUAUUUAGAUAUAAAAACAUGCAUAUAUAGGCACAUAGACAUGUACAUACACACACAUAUGUACAAAUAUAUAUGCCUAAAUUUUUACUGACCUGUCAACUUACAAAACAAAAAUGAGAGAUUUAUAAAAGGUACAUAUAUAGCUGUGAAUUCUUUAAAGCUAUUUUUAAAGAAAUUAAUAUAAUCUUAAUGAUUAUCAGAUUACUCAUGCAGUACACAGCUACACAAGUCUAAUGAAGUACCAGACACUUUUCUUUCUUCAACUAUUGUCCUAUCUUAUUCAGGUUUUCAUUUUCUUACUAGAUGUGUUUUCAAUGGUUUAUGACGUAAUAAAAUUUCUUUACCUCUUC